rnacentral:rRNA from 1 species
UGAGGAAUAUUGGUCAAUGGGGGCAACCCUGAACCAGCCAAGUCGCGUGAAGGACGAAGGUCUUAUGGAUUGUAAACUUCUUUUACACGGGAAUAAAGUGGGGGACGUGUCCCCCUUUGCAUGUACCGUGUGAAUAAGGAUCGGCUAACUCCGUGCCAGCAGCCGCGGUAAUACGUAGGGGGCAAGCGUUGUCCGGAUUUACUGGGUGUAACGGGUGCUCAGGCGGAUUUGUAAGUCAGAGGUGAAGUCUUACAGCUUAACUGUGAAACUGCCUUUGAUACUGCAAGCCUAGAGUAUGGAAGAGAGUGAUGGAAUAUCUGGUGUAGCAGUGAAAUGCGUAGAUAUCAGAUAGAACACCAAUGGCGAAGGCAGUCACUUGGUCCAUUACUGACGCUAAAGCACGAAAGCGUGGGUAGCAAACA